GAUGAACGCUGGCGGCGUGCUUAACACAUGCAAGUCGAACGGAAAGGCCCAAGCUUGCUUGGGUACUCGAGUGGCGAACGGGUGAGUAACCCGUGGGUGAUCUGCCCUGCACUUCGGGAUAAGCCUGGGAAACUGGGUCUAAUACCGGAUAGGACCACAUUUUGGAUGGUGUGGUGGAAAGUUUUUCGGUUUGGGAUGAGCUCGCGGCCUAUCAGCUUGUUGGUGGGGUAAUGGCCUACCAAGGCGUCGACGGGUAGCCGGCCAGAGAGGGUGUACGGCGACAUUGGGUCUGAGGGGCGGCCCAGACACCUACGGGAGGCAGAAGGGGGGAAUAUUGAACAAGCGGCGCAAGCCGGGUGAAGCGAGGCCGCGGAGGGGAAAACGGCCUUCGGGGUGUAGAAUCCUUUCGCUAGGGACGAAGCGUUAUGUGACGGUACCUGGAGAAGAAGCACCGGCUAACUACGUG
rnacentral:rRNA from 1 species